rnacentral:lncRNA from 1 species
GUACUGUGCGUCACUGUUCAUUCAAAAAAAAAACUUGGAUUUUUUUCUAUUUUGUUCUCCUUAUUAAGACAAUCACAUGACAUCGGUCAAUAUGUCAAAAAAAUGAUUUGUUCCACUCAACCAAGAUGAAAUAAAGAGGUUGAAAUCUUUUCUUAGUGAAUUGGAGACACCAACAACGGUUACAACUUCUCUGGCAUAUUCAGGUAUGUUUCCGUUUCCACUUUCUCUUGGUAAGUCU